CAGAGAGUAGUUAAAUUUAGAAUUCUGGUUUUGGGAACCAGGGGUGGGAGUUAAAAUCUCCUCUUUCUGA
rnacentral:tRNA from 1 species